UCAAAUGAUAUUUUUUUUUUAAAUUUUUUUUUUUAUGCUUAGUUUGUGAUCAAGAAAACAAUUUUCGUGACACGAUUCAUAUCCUGGCUAACCCGGCUCAUAUGAACAGCCCCCAGAGUUAAUCGUCACUGUAUCACACCGUGAUUACCGGCCAAACUAUUUAAGCAAUCGUCGCCAACUUCGGAAAAAGGUAAGAAAAUUUGGCACCAACUAUUGUCUGACCCCUACUAUAGUGGAUUAGACAGUAAUAUCAGGUGACGUCGAGGGUCAAAAUCGGAUUCAGUAGUUUACACCUACUUGCCAAAAUCACACGAACGUAUAAUUGUUUUGUGUUUUAUACCGCGUCGCAUGAAUUUACUGACAGUGCAGGUUUCAAAAUUAAGCUGAGUUAUAUAUAAGGUGGGCCAUAAUUCAUAACAGUUCAGUAUACAAUAAACCUAAACGAUUUACUAUCAGUAUAGGUGAUGGCGUGCCGCGUAAUGUUGAAUGAAAAAUCGGAUCUAGCAGUUUUUAAUUACUCCCUCCCACUUAUCAGUAAUAGCGAAUCUCAGCAUUGACGACAUGUACAACAGCUGGCACCCAACAAACUCGUU